GACGAACGCUGGCGGCGUGCUUAACACAUGCAAGUCGAACGGAAAGGCCCUGCUUUUGUGGGGUGCUCGAGUGGCGAACGAGUGAGUAACACGUGAGUAACCUGCCCUUGACUUUGGGAUAACUUCAGGAAACUGGGGCAAAUACCGGAUAGGAGCUCCUGCUGCAUGGUGGGGGUUGGAAAGUUUCGGCGGUUGGGGAUGGACUCGCGGCUUAUCAGCUUGUUGGUGGGGUAGUGGCUUACCAAGGCUUUGACGGGUAGCCGGCCUGAGAGGGUGACCGGCCACAUUGGGACUGAGAUACGGCCCAGACUCCUACGGGAGGCAGCAGUGGGGAAUAUUGCACAAUGGGCGGAAGCCUGAUGCAGCAACGCCGCGUGCGGGAUGACGGCCUUCGGGUUGUAAACCGCUUUCGCCUGUGACGAAGCGUGAGUGACGGUAAUGGGUAAAGAAGCACCGGCUAACUACGUG
rnacentral:rRNA from 1 species